GACGUAGGGCGCGAGCGUUGUCCGGAAUUAUUGGGCGUAAAGAGCUCGUAGGCGGCUUGUUGCGUCGUCCGUGAAAUCCCGUGGCUCAACUGCGGGCUUGCGGACGAUACGGGCAGGCUAGAGUUCGGUAGGGGAGACUGGAAUUCCUGGUGUUGCGGUGAAAUGCGCAGAUAUCAGGAGGAACACCGGUGGCGAAGGCGGGUCUCUGGGCCGAUACUGACGCUGAGGAGCGAAAGCGUGGGGAGCAAACAGG
rnacentral:rRNA from 1 species